CUACGGGAGGCUCCAGUAGGGAAUUUUCCACAAUGGGCGAAAGCCUGAUGGAGCAACGCCGCGUGCAGGAUGAAUGCCUUUGGGUUGUAAACUACUUUUAUAUGUGACGAAUAUGACGGUAGCAUAUGAAUAAGGAUCGGCUAACUCCGUGCCAGCAGCCGCGGUCAUACGGAGGAUCCAAGCGUUAUCCGGAAUUACUGGGCGUAAAGAGUUGCGUAGGUGGCAUAGUAAGCGGGUAGUGAAAGCGUGUGGCUCAACCAUACUCACAUUACCCGAACUGCUAAGCUAGAGGGCGAGAGAGGUUACUGGAAUUCCCAGUGUAGGAGUGAAAUCCGCAGAUAUUGGGAGGAACACCGAUGGCGUAGGCAGGUAACUGGCUCGUCCCUGACACUAAGGCACGAAAGCGUGGGGAGCAAACGGGAUUAGAUACCCGCGUAGUC
rnacentral:rRNA from 1 species